rnacentral:rRNA from 2 species
GCGGAUCCAAGGAGAGCUCUGCUCCCUGAACCAUCAGCGGCGGACGGGUGAGUAACACGUGGGUAACCUGCCUGUAAGACUGGGAUAACUCCGGGAAACCGGGGCUAAUACCGGAUAACUCAGUUCCUCGCAUGAGGAACUGUUGAAAGGUGGCUUUUAGCUACCACUUACAGAUGGACCCGCGGCGCAUUAGCUAGUUGGUGAGGUAACGGCUCACCAAGGCGACGAUGCGUAGCCGACCUGAGAGGGUGAUCGGCCACACUGGGACUGAAACACGGCCCAAACUCCUACGGGAGGCAGCAGUAGGGAAUCUUCCGCAAUGGACGAAAGUCUGACGGAGCAACGCCGCGUGAGUGAAGAAGGUUUUCGGAUCGUAAAACUCUGUUGUUAGGGAAGAACAAGUGCCGUUCGAAUAGGGCGGCGCCUUGACGGUACCUAACCAGAAAGCCACGGCUAACUACGUGCCAGCAGCCGCGGUAAUACGUAGGUGGCAAGCGUUGUCCGGAAUUAUUGGGCGUAAAGCGCGCGCAGGUGGUUUCUUAAGUCUGAUGUGAAAGCCCACGGCUCAACCCGUGGAGGGUCAUUGGAAAACUGGGGAACUUGAGUGCAGAAGAGGAAAGUGGAAUUUCCAAGUGUAGCGGUGAAAUGCGUAGAUAUUUGGAGGAACACCAGUGGCGAAGCAC